ACUCCAUGGUGAGGACAAGACCUAGUGUAACCCUUAAAUCGUUCCCAAGCUUCGUAGAGUGCCUUAUUCGAACCUUGCUUGAAGCUUGUGAUGUUGUUUCUAAUUCU
rfam:Arabis alpina cultivar Pajares chromosome 7, whole genome shotgun sequence.